rnacentral:tRNA from 1 species
AGAGAUGGAGAACCUCUCCCAAGGACA